ACCCGUCGGCUGUCAGCGGAC
rnacentral:sRNA from 1 species